GACAUUUCUGUAUAGUGUUCAUGAUCAUCAUUUUUAACUGUUAGCUAUAACAGCAAACUAAAAUGUAAAAUUAAGGGGUAUAAAGAGAAAUACACCCCAUCAAUUCAGCUCUCUUAAAAAGGAAUAAGAGAACAAACGAUAUAGACAGAUUACAACAAUUGCAAACAUUUCAAAAAAAAAAAAAUCUAAUCAAAAUUCUCAAUUCAACUUAGAAACUUAUAUAUCUCCACCUUCACAUUAUCCAGUAAGUGUAAAGUAAUCUAUAUCCCCCUUCAUAGAUUUGUCUUAGGAUAAGAUUUAAGGCACAUAAAUUACACCCAAAAUACCAAUCUUCUGACCUUAUUUGAUCCAAUCUGAAUCACAUCCAUGCAAACUCAAAACAUAAAAAGCAAAUCCUUUACCCAAAAUCAAUAAUAAUGCCAAGAAAGCAAUAAUUUCUUUUUCCUUUUAAUAACAAACUCAAAAUGAAUUAAACAAAGCCCAAUAAAAUCGGAACAUCAUCAAAAACAUGAAAUCAAACCCACAAAUCUAAAAUAAAAGCGAAAAAAAGUGUUUCAUAGUUGUUACGAUGAUUAGAUGGGACAAAUCUGGACUACUGGGUCUAGGGUCAGAGAGAUGCAGAAAAGUCUAGGUGAAGACUGAAGAGAAUGGAGUGACGAGAAGGAACACCAGUUUCGAAGAUCCAAAGGCAGUUUGUUUUGCAGCAGCAACAACAUCAACAACCUUUGCCACAGCUGCAACUUUUACAGCAACAAUAUCAGCAACACCCACAGUUGCGGUGAGGGACAAGUGACUGGAGACUUGAGACGGGUGAGGGAUUUGCCUAAACUCCUCAGAAAUUGAUGAAGAAGAACUGAAGAAGGAUGGAGGGUUUGAUUUAGGGCUUUUGAUUUUUUAUUUGGGGGGUUUGAUUUCGGGAUAGGAAUUAGGAAAUAGGAAUAAUAUUUUGAUUUGGGAAAAACGGGGUAAAGUAAAAAUAAAAUAAUUAGACUAAAUAAUAAUAUAAAUUUAAAAUUUAACAUAAUAUAGUUUAGUAUUUAAAAUAAUAACGAAGGCAACACAAAAAAAGGUUGGGUUAGAUAAAAUAUUUUCAAACGAAAAAUAAAAGUUUGGAUAGGUUAACAUUUUCC
rnacentral:lncRNA from 1 species